GCCGUGAUCGUAUAGUGGUUUGUACUCUGCGUUGUGGCCGCAGAAACCCCGGUUCAAAUCUGGGUCACGGCA
rfam:Salmo salar isolate Sally breed double haploid chromosome ssa13, whole genome shotgun sequence.